UGGAUAUAUCAAGUCAUGGCAUGAACCAGUGAUUGAGCACCUGGUGGGAAGGCAGGGCCAACCUAGGGGAGCUCAGGUGCAUACCCUUGAGUGACCAAAAAGGGUGGAGUCAGGAUCAACCCCUUCCCAGAUCUCAUUUAAGGGUUGGCAGUGGAUGCGAGGGUGUCUUGCUAGAAAUCUGUACAUGCUCUGAGGCCUUCUAAAGAUUAAGUAUGAAUUCUCUUAUCUGCAGCUACAUAAGUCCAGGGUAACUCCAUUGAAAUUGGUGGACAUGAUGAGACAGAAGUAUUAAUGACGUAAUCCUGAUGGUAUGAGUGUUCUUCCUGAGUUGAUCCUGUUUGUUUAAAAACUGCAUUCAACUACAGCAUUGCAAGUCUCCAAUAAUGGAUGCUUUUGCAACUGUAUGUGUGCGGUCAGGAUGGGAGCAAGCAUGCAGUUGCUACAAAGACUUGUGUGGAGCACCCUGUUUAACAGUAUUUACUGCUUUUUGUUGGACACAAUUUGUUGAAAUCUGUCUAUAUCUAACUUUUUAUAAUUUAAUUCAGUUUACUUACUGGCUCUGAUAUUACAUUCCUUUUUUUUUUUAAUGGGCUCCUCAGAAAUAUGUGACAAGAAGCUAUUUUUAUGUUCUGAUAUAAUCCUCUAGACAUGAUGAAAAGUAUGAAGCAUUGGACUGUCAAAUUUCAUUGAAUAUGCAGUCAUUACACUUAGAGAUGUCAAAGAUAAAGAUUCCAAUUUCAAUCAGCCUACUGAUUGACUAUGCUUCAUUUAGAUAGUGGAUUUUCCACUCGUUAUCCAGUCCUGCACUAAUCUGAAAGUCAGUAGGCCAGAACACAUAAAGUUUUAAAUAGAGGAAAACUAUUUACUAAAUUACUAUUACGUUUUUGAAUGCAUUGAACUACUUUAGAUAGAAAUAAGAAUUUGCAGUCUCUACAUUAAGUAGGCUGCCAAAAUCUAUUAUUAAUGUUCAAAGUAUUUAAUCUUCUUUUAAAAUAAUACAUGUUUAAUAGUAUUUGAAAAAUGCACACCAAAUACCCAGAAUUCUGGUAUGUCAAUUUCUCAUUUCCAUCCCAUAGUAUCUCAACUAAUUUUGCUAAAUGUGCUAUUUAAAGGAAAGCUACCUACCGCCGAACUUUUGCCCAAAGAGGAAGUGUAAAAGCAUAGGUUAAAAGGAAAAUAAUAAACCAAUAAAUGGAUCAUGACAAAGAAAGUAAAUGAAGUACGUUUACAAAUUUGAUCUGUUGCUAUAAAGCUAUCUAAAAUCUUGAUCCUGCAAUGUAUUUUAUUAUGUCUGUAACUCUAAAUACCCAAGAGUUGCUUGGAAAUUCAAGUGCUUGCCUCAGAGUUUUGCUGAACUGGGUCUUAAAUGUUACUGUUACCUAACAGCUUAGUACGUAAAUGGGAGGUCCAUCACAGGAAUUAAGUUAUUUAGUCAUAUACUAUAUUUAUUUCUAAAAAUGUUUUCUUACUCUUCACUGUAAAGAUACCCCCAACUAGUGUUUAUUUUCAGUCUUAACUCUUCUCAGACUCACUUUUUAGAAGACAUUUUUAACCAUUUAUGCUGCCUGCACAUUUAAUAAGAAAUGUAAAACCUUCUACCUUCUGAUCUGCCUGAUUUGCUCUUAAUAGUUGAUAAUAUUUGUGGCCAAUCAAGUCUGGACUGGAGAGGAGGUGGUCUUACUGAGGUAAAAUAUGUUGUGUUCUGCUUAUUUUUGAAAGCUUUCUAGCACAAUAAUUUUAUCGCUAAAGCUGGUACCUUAUAUUCCAAUUCAAAACAAGAGGAUGCUUAGCUGAAGAGUACACAAGAGUGAUUUGGAUUUAAUUCUAGCUCUGAACAAGCUGAAAAUAUCUCCUGUGAAUGAUUCAAUCUUUGUGAAAUAUAAAAAAUAAAACAAAGUGGCAUAGCCCUUGCCUGCCUGGAAGAAAGCCUUUGGAAAUGCCAGCAUGAGACAAGUCUGUUUCUGAAAUAUUUCUCAUUUGUAAUUAAAAAUAUGAUGGAAAUCCGUUCUGGUGCAAUUUAGAAGCAGUGAGUGCAUGGAAUCAUGUCUACCAUCUGCUGAAAUGCUGGUGGCAUUAUUAAGAUGGAUGACAAACCCCCUAAAGUGACUAUUACUGAGAAGUGCUAAUAACACCUGCUACAUAAACUCUGUGAAGCCACUAAGUAAACUGGGAAAGCCACUUCUUAGCUGAUUCUCUGCAAUGCACCACUUCACUAAGACAGGAUUUCUCAAGAGGCUUUUAAAAAAGCCAGCAUGGCUGCCUGGAACCUGCUUGUUCAUUUUAUCCCCAGCCCAUCCAGAGAUGCUUAUUCUUUUCAGCUGUUGCAAACAGUUUUGAAAUAAGGCAGUAUUUUCAUUUGGAGGAGGGGUAUAGAAUAACUCUCUUAUACGUAGAGAACAGAUGCCCUGAAGAAAAAUAAAAUAUAUUUGCAGAAUUGUCGUCUCAGAAUGGGGCUCAACAUGAAGAAGAAAUGUUGAGUGGCUGCAUUCUCUUUUAAAAUUUAUGUUAUGAUUAUAGAUUUCACUCUCAAUUAUCAGUUUACUGAUUUGCUGUUUAUUAACGUAGCAAAAUUGAGACAGGGUCCCUGGUAUUACUGCCUAAAAAGUAACAGCCUGAUUGUAUGGGCCAAAAAGGAAAACUCAUUUAAUUGUUAAAACUGAUCUCUUCCUAUUCUAUUCUAUGAAAGGAAUGUCAAUUAUGUGCAGCUUGUUGUAAGACCUUAAUUUUCAAUAUUAUGGCAGUUUUUACAGGAUUGUAACAAAUAGUUGUGCUAAAUCAGCAACUGCACAGUGCAUUUACUAAGAAAGUGUAGAGCAUGCAGUAGUAACAGAUACUUUCCUUUUCAAAUGAAUAAUGUGUAGUGGUCCAUCUUGACGGGUAAUUUCUAGAGGAUAUAGAACACACCAAACAGAUGCACAUAAGGAAACUGAGGCCACACUUAAGUCACAUAACAAUAACCAAGAAUUUUUUAAUGAGUUUUCUUCAAAACUAUUAUACUAGUCUGAGUAAAAUCAUUUAAGGUAGGCCAGCUCCAUUAUCUAUAAAAUAUGAAUAAAGACGUAAUUCAUGACACUGAAAUAAAAAACUUAGUAGCGGUAAAUCUUAGUAUAUCUUUUUAAAGCAAACUGAAAUUAAAUCACAACUUGGACAGGAUUCAUCCUAAGCUGUUCCUGGAUGUCCAUAUAACUCACUGGCAUUAUAUUAGCAGCAAAACAUGAAGAAGGAGAAGUCCACAUUUGUGACAACUGUGUUGAAUGUGAAAUGUACUAGAAAGACCAACAGCAAAGAAACUGAGAUAGUAGAGUCAGCAUAGCUUUGUAACCAGGAUUAAUGGGCUGAAAUUUUCAGGUUUGAAAAAGUCAUGAUUUCUUUCUAAAUGAAAGUGAUCAGUAACCAAGAAUAUCACUGAAGUUCUCUUUCCAAACUGUGCCGUAGGUGCAUAAAAUGCUAUCUCACUGCAAAAGAGACAGAAGUUAAGAUUUGAAAUGUAGGAGAAAUUGAACACUGUAGCCUUCCUCAACUAUCUCCUCUUGCUUUUUUUUUUUUAACUUUUCUAUUUACAUGCAUAUGUCAAACAUUUCAUUCGAACAUGAUCGUUUGUGCUUCCUAUUUUUAUAAUAAUUGAAUAGCAGUUUUAGCGCAACAUCUAAAAAGCACUGCUCUAUUUUAGCAUGAUAAAGUUUUAUUUAAAGCUCCUUUACUGUAGUGAACUUAGUAAUCUCUUAGCAUGCAAGUCUAAAAGGAACACUUGCAUACUAUGUCCCCGGGCCACCUCAAAGGUUACUUCUUUGUUCUUUAAUAUAUUUUUGCCCUUAUGAUGCUUAUUUUAAGGAUUUAAUUUUAUAACUCUGU